CCUCAGCCCUGUCAACAUUUGUUUUAUACCAACAAUGUUUCUGGAUUAUGUUGUCUCCCUCUAGGUCAUUCUCUCUGAAAAGUACUUAAAUUGAGUUCCCAGGGAAAAUCAGAUAUUCGCUAAUGUCCUAGUGAAUGAUAUGAGAAGGCCCAGUUCAUGAAGGCUCUGGAGAAGGUCAGACUACCUGUAUAAGACUCCUAUCUAAUCAUCUUACCACAUCCGUGUUUAAGCAACAAAGUCUAAAGCAUACUGUUUGUCUAAGUUGUGUCAUAAAAAUAUAUCUCUGUUUUCUCUUGAGGCAGCUGUGAUUAUUAUGGAGAAGUUUGAGCUUGGAGUAAAAAGUACAGGCUUGAAUCUCAGUUCCUAUUACUACCAUUGGCAUGAGUGUGGGACAUUUUGUAACUUGUUUUUAUACUUUGGCCACCUGAUGCGAAGAGCUGACUCAUUUGAAAAUACCCUGAUGCUGGGAACAAUUGAGGGCAGAAGAAGGGGAUGGCAGAGGAUGAGUUGGCUGGAUGACAUCACCGACUUGAUGGACACAAGGCAAAGAGAAGUAAUGAGAGAGAGACAGAGAUAGAGAGUCAAAGGAGUGAUAUGACCGGGAAGCUAGAGAAGACACAGUUGGUGUGUUCAAGGUGUGUUCCUGACCUAGAGGGAGGCAAUCAAUGAACCUGCUGUUUGUGAAGCUCUUGCCAAGCUCUUCCCAGGGAACAUCAUCUGGGCUCAGCCCUAGGGUAACUACAAUGCAUGAUGCUACCCACUUGCCUAGUGCAAGUGCUUACAAAUGCCAGUUGUUCCCUGUGUUAGACCACACAAGGUAGCAUGAGUACUGUCAAUUUAUUAUUUUUUUUCCCCCAAAAG
ensembl:lncRNA